GGUUCCUGUCCAACGUUAAUCGGGGCAGGGUGAGUCGACCCCUAAGGCGAGGCCGAAAGGCGUAGUCGAUGGGAAACAGGUUAAUAUUCCUGUACUUGGUGUUACUGCGAAGGGGGGACGGAGAAGGCUAUGUUGGCCGGGCGACGGUUGUCCCGGUUUAAGCGUGUAGGCUGGUUUUCCAGGCAAAUCCGGAAAAUCAAGGCUGAGGCGUGAUGACGAGGCACUACGGUGCUGAAGCAACAAAUGCCCUGCUUCCAGGAAAAGCCUCUAAGCAUCAGGUAACAUCAAAUCGUACCCCAAACCGACACAGGUGGUCAGGUAGAGAAUACCAAGGCGCUUGAGAGAACUCGGGUGAAGGAACUAGGCAAAAUGGUGCCGUAACUUCGGGAGAAGGCACGCUGAUAUGUAGGUGAAGCGACUUGCUCGUGGAGCUGAAAUCAGUCGAAGAUACCAGCUGGCUGCAACUGUUUAUUAAAAACACAGCACUGUGCAAACACGAAAGUGGACGUAUACGGUGUGACGCCUGCCCGGUGCCGGAAGGUUAAUUGAUGGGGUUAGCGCAAGCGAAGCUCUUGAUCGAAGCCCCGGUAAACGGCGGCCGUAACUAUAACGGUCCUAAGGUAGCGAAAUUCCUUGUCGGGUAAGUUCCGACCUGCACGAAUGGCGUAAUGAUGGCCAGGCUGUCUCCACCCGAGACUCAGUGAAAUUGAACUCGCUGUGAAGAUGCAGUGUACCCGCGGCAAGACGGAAAGACCCCGUGAACCUUUACUAUAGCUUGACACUGAACAUUGAGCCUUGAUGUGUAGGAUAGGUGGGAGGCUUUGAAGUGUGGACGCCAGUCUGCAUGGAGCCGACCUUGAAAUACCACCCUUUAAUGUUUGAUGUUCUAACGUUGGCCCCUGAUCGGGGUUGCGGACAGUGUCUGGUGGGUAGUUUGACUGGGGCGGUCUCCUCCUAAAGAGUAACGGAGGAGCACGAAGGUUGGCUAAUCCUGGUCGGACAUCAGGAGGUUAGUGCAAUGGCAUAAGCCAGCUUGACUGCGAGCGUGACGGCGCGAGCAGGUGCGAAAGCAGGUCAUAGUGAUCCGGUGGUUCUGAAUGGAAGGGCCAUCGCUCAACGGAUAAAAGGUACUCCGGGGAUAACAGGCUGAUACCGCCCAAGAGUUCAUAUCGACGGCGGUGUUUGGCACCUCGAUGUCGGCUCAUCACAUCCUGGGGCUGAAGUAGGUCCCAAGGGUAUGGCUGUUCGCCAUUUAAAGUGGUACGCGAGCUGGGUUUAGAACGUCGUGAGACAGUUCGGUCCCUAUCUGCCGUGGGCGCUGGAGAACUGAGGGGGGCUGCUCCUAGUACGAGAGGACCGGAGUGGACGCAUCACUGGUGUUCGGGUUGUCAUGCCAAUGGCACUGCCCGGUAGCUAAAUGCGGAAGAGAUAAGUGCUGAAAGCAUCUAAGCACGAAACUUGCCCCGAGAUGAGUUCUCCCUGAGACUUUAAGUCUCCUGAAGGAACGUUGAAGACGACGACGUUGAUAGGCCGGGUGUGUAAGCGCAGCGAUGCGUUGAGCUAACCGGUACUAAUGAACCGUGAGG
rnacentral:rRNA from 2 species